UACGUAGGGUGCGAGCGUUGUCCGGAAUUAUUGGGCGUAAAGAGCUCGUAGGCGGUCUGUCGCGUCGGUCGUGAAAACUUGGGGCUUAACCCUGAGCUUGCGGUCGAUACGGGCAUCACUGGAGUUCGGCAGGGGAGACUGGAAUUCCUGGUGUAGCGGUGAAAUGCGCAGAUAUCAGGAGGAACACCGGUGGCGAAGGCGGGUCUCUGGGCCGAUACUGACGCUGAGGAGCGAAAGCGUGGGGAGCGAACAGG
rnacentral:rRNA from 1 species